rnacentral:rRNA from 1 species
GAUGAACGCUAGCGGCAGGCCUAAUACAUGCAAGUCGAACGGCCCCGACACUUCGGUGUCGGGGUAGUGGCGCACGGGUGCGUAACGCGUACACAACAUACCCUUUACGGGGGAGUAGCGGCGGGAAACUAGCCAGUAAUACCCCACUGUCCUUGCGAGGUGGCAUCAUUUUGUCAAAGAAAGUUACAAGCGGUAAAGGAUUGGUGUGCGUCCGAUUAGCUAGUUGGCGGGGUAACGGCCCACCAAGGCGACGAUCGGUAGGGGGUGGUGAGAGCAUGGCCCCCCGACCACGGGUACGUGA